AUUGAACGCUGGCGGCAUGCUUAACACAUGCAGUCGAACGGCAGCGCGGGAAAGCUUGCUUUCCUGGCGGCGAGUGGCGGACGGGUGAGUAAUACUUAGGAAUCUGCCCACUAGUGGGGGAUAGCCCGGGGAAACUCGGAUUAAUACCGCAUAAGCCCUACGGGGGAAGCUGGGGACCCAGCACCAUAGCCUUUUGGCAACCGAUCAAGGCGAGAAGAAGCUAUGGUGCUGGGCCUGGCGCUAGUGGAUGAGCCUAAGUCCUAUCAGCUAGUUGGUGGGUAAAAGCCUACCAAGGCGACGACGGGUAGCUGGUCUGAGAGGAUGAUCAGCCACACUGGGACUGAGACACGGCCCAGACUCCUACGGGA
rnacentral:rRNA from 1 species